rnacentral:rRNA from 1 species
UCUUUUUGUUAUUAAAGAAUUUCGAUAACCGAUGGGGAUGCGUUCCAUUAGUUUGUUGGCGGGGUAACGGCCCACCAAGACAUCGAUGGAUAGGGGUUCUGAGAGGAAGGUCCCCCACAUUGGAACUGAGACACGGUCCAAACUCCUACGGGAGGCAGCAGUGAGGAAUAUUGGUCAAUGGACGAGAGUCUGAACCAGCCAAGUAGCGUGAAGGAUGACUGCCCUAUGGGUUGUAAACUUCUUUUAUAUGGGAAUAAAGUGAGCCACGUGUGGCUUUUUGUAUGUACCAUACGAAUAAGGAUCGGCUAACUCCGUGCCAGCAGCCGCGGUAAUACGGAGGAUCCGAGCGUUAUCCGGAUUUAUUGGGUUUAAAGGGAGCGUAGGCGGACUAUUAAGUCAGCUGUGAAAGUUU